rnacentral:misc_RNA from 1 species
AUGAUUGCGAAUGGUUACCUUUGGUGCUGGCUCUCGCGAGCAAGUGCACGUUGGUGGCUUUCAUCCACUACUACCCUGUGAACCUUUGGCCUCUUGCUAGCUUCGGCUGGCAGAGGAUUUUACAUAAACUCGAAUGUAAUGAAAUUUACUGUCGUGCGCAAGCACUAAUGUA